CAGGGUGGCCACCCAAUAAUCAGCACAAGUUAGAAUGUGGGCAACUCGGCAGUCAUUGGUGACUCUAGAUAACCUCGGGCCGAUCGCACAUCCCCGUGAAGGGGAUGACGCAUUUGUAUGUCUGCCCUAUCAAUUUUCGAUGGUACUUUCUGCACCUACCAUGGUGACCACUGGUAACGGGGAAUCAGGGUUCGAUUCCGGAGAGUUAGCCUGAGAAACGGCUACCACAUCCAAGGAAGGCAGCAGGCGCGCAAGUUAUCCACUCCCGACGCGGGGAGGUAGUGA